GGGGCUGUAACUCAGUUGGCAGAGUGGUUGCCUGAAGAGCAACAGGUCAGUGGUUCGAUUCCACUCAGCCCCACCA
rnacentral:tRNA from 1 species